rnacentral:rRNA from 1 species
GAAUUUUGGACAAUGGGGGCAACCCUGAUCCAGCCAUCCCGCGUGUGCGAUGAAGGCCUUCGGGUUGUAAAGCACUUUUGGCAGGGAAUAUAAGGCUCUGGCUAAUACCUGGAGCUGCUGACGGUACCUGCAGAAUAAGUACCGGCUAACUACGUGCAUGCAGCCGCGGUAAUACGUAGGGUGCAAGCGUUGAUCGGAAUUACUGGGCGUAAAGCGUGCGCAGGCGGUUCGGCAAGAAGGAUGUGAAAUCCCAGGGCUUAACCUUGGAACUGCAUUCUUAAGUGCCGGGCUAGAGUAUGUCAGAGGGGGGUAGAAUUCCGCGUGUAGAAGUGAAAUGCGUAGAGAUGAGGAGGAAUACCGAUGGCGAAGGCAGCCCCCUGGGAUAAUACUGACGCUCAUGCACGAAAGCGUGGGGAGCAAAC